rnacentral:tRNA from 1 species
GGGAGUGUAGCUCAGUGGUAGAGCGCUCACUUUGCAUGUGGAGGACACUGAGUUCGAUCCUCAGCAUCA